rnacentral:ncRNA from 1 species
CAUAAAGGCUUGAUCCUGGCCUUAAAGUCAAUUUUUACCCAACUUACACAUGCAAGCCUCUACACCCCCGUGAAAACGCCUCCCCAUUCUAUUAAGAACGAGCAAAGCUGGCAUCAGGCACAGUAAUUCGCCCAAGACGCCUAGUCUCACCACAUCCACAAGGACACGCAGCAGUGAUAAACAUUGAACAUAAGCGUCAGCUUGAUUCAGUCAGAGUAAACAGGGCCGGCAAACUCGGUGCCAGCCGCCGCGGCUAAACCACACGAGCCCAAAUUGAUUUUCCUCGGCGUAAAGCGUGGUUAAAGCAAUUCUUACUUAGUGUCAAACUUAGACUAGUUUGUGAAAUGACAGUUUAAUGGAAGCUCAAACACGAAAGUUACCCUAAUCUCACUUGACCCCACGAUAGUUAGGACAUAAACUGGGAUUAGAUACCCCACUAUACCUAUCUGUAAACCUUAACUUACACCAUAAUUGCCAGGGAACUACGAGCUAAGCUUAAAACCCAAAGGACUUGACGGUGCCCCAUACCCACCUAGAGGAGCCUGUCCUAUAACUCGACAAUCCCCGCUAUACCUCACCACUUUUAGCCUAUCAGUCAGUAUACCUCCGUCUUCAGCCCACCGCAUGAACGAUAAUCAGUGGGCUCAAUGUUUCUUAACAAUACGUCAGGUCAAGGUGCUGCAAAUAAAGUGGGAAGAGAUGGGCUACACUCUCUAAGGUAGAGAACACGGAAGAUCAACAUGAAAUCUUAUCUGAAGGUGGAUUUAGAAGUAAAAAAGAAGUAAAAAGUCUUUUUUAACCCGGCAAUGAGGCGUGUACACACCGCCCGUCACCCUCUUCAAAGCAUAUAAUUUAGUACUUAACCCAACACGCAUUAGAGAAGAGGUAAGUCGUAACAUGGUAAGCGUACCGGAAGGUGUGCUUGGAGA